UUCACUGUCAGCCCAUAAAGCCGACAGACCGUGCACAGAAAUCAUCCAUGCACACCAAGCAGGCACUCAAUACCUUCUCUUGAAAAACCAACCGAAAUCCACACUCACCCCAAUCAGGGUGGUCUGGAUGACCUGGUGGCUAUGGCGGGGGGUGUACCACCCGAUCCCAUCCCGAACUCGGACGUGAAAAACCCCAGCGCCUAUGAUACUGCGGCUUAAGUCGCGGGAAAGUCGGUCGCCGCCAGGU
rnacentral:rRNA from 1 species